GAUGAACGCUGGCGGCGUGCUUAACACAUGCAAGUCGAACGAUGAAGCCCAGCUUGCUGGGUGGAUUAGUGGCGAACGGGUGAGUAACACGUGAGUAACCUGCCCUUAACUCUGGGAUAAGCCUGGGAAACUGGGUCUAAUACCGGAUAGGAGCGCCUACCGCAUGGUGGGUGUUGGAAAGAUUUAUCGGUUUUGGAUGGACUCGCGGCCUAUCAGCUUGUUGGUGAGGUAAUGGCUCACCAAGGCGACGACGGGUAGCCGGCCUGAGAGGGUGACCGGCCACACUGGGACUGAGACACGGCCCAGACUCCUAUGGGAGGCAGCAGUGGGGAAUAUUGCACAAUGGGCGAAAGCCUGAUGCAGCGACGCCGCGUGAGGGAUGACGGCCUUCGGGUUGUAAACCUCUUUCAGUAGGGAAGAAGCGAAAGUGACGGUACCUGCAGAAGAAGCACCGGCUAACUACGUG
rnacentral:rRNA from 1 species